rnacentral:lncRNA from 1 species
AUUAUUUUUUUUAAUUUUAUUUUAUUUUUAAACUUUACAAUAUUGUAUUAGUUUUGCCAAAUAUUGAAAUGAAUCCGCCACAGGUAUACCUGUGUUCCCCACCCUGAACCCUCCUCCCUCCUCCCUCCCCAUACCCUCCCUCUGGGUCAUCUUAUGAUCCCUCAUAAAGUUCCUUCUGGAACAAGAUUCCCUUUUCUCCUCAAGCCAGCCCCCAGUAGGUUCACCUUUACAGUUUCUGGAACUAGAACAAGAGGAUGAGUGAGAAGCAAGUAACCAGUUGGGAGCUGUGGAUUGGCAAAUUUCAAGAUGAAAAUGGUGUAUUAAUUUUCUCUCUGACUAUGUGUGGACAUCCUAAGGAUGCCCUGGGAUCUUUUGAAUGAGAUUUUGGAUCACAUGUCUAUCAGCAGACCAGAAAACAAAUGACAAAUGACAAAAAUUAUGACAAUAAAAAUAGGUAAGUCCAUAAGGAUAAUCCUCUU